GAAAAGUAAGGGUAGGGAAGACCGGUCAGGAGCUUCUAACUUUAUGGUAACUUUUCG
rnacentral:tRNA from 1 species